rfam:Candidate division WOR-1 bacterium RIFCSPHIGHO2_01_FTLL_53_15 rifcsphigho2_01_scaffold_7440, whole genome shotgun sequence.
GCGGGUGUAGCUCAGCUGGUAGAGCUUCUGCUUCCCAAGCAGAAGGUCGUGGGUUCGAACCCCAUCACCCGCU